UUUUUUUCCUUUCGGCGAGCGCUUCGGCGUCUCAGGUAGUUUUGGCGUUGGUCGACCUCUUCGCCGCGGUGUCUCUGCGUGAGAGCGAGCGUGUGGCGGCGUGCCUGCGCGUGCUGGCUGGGGCCGCCGGGCUAAGCAAGAGGGAGCGGAGCGGGGCGGUACCUCUUCCGCGAGCAGCUCGCCGAGCUCCGGCGCCACCGCGCGGAGCUCCGGCAGCGGCGCAGGCCCCGGAGCCGUCGCGCGCUGAAGCCCCCGCGGAGGCGCAGCAGCCUAGGCCGCUAGGACCGGAUGCUGCUGAAGCAGCGGCUCCGGAAGCCGGCGGAGUUGCGGCGCCGGCUCUUCUAUCCGCCCUGCCACGAGCUCCAGUGGUUGCAGGAGCGCCUCCGGAAGCGGCAGCGGUUCCUGGAGGAGUAGGACCGGUUCGUCAUGGGCUUUGGACGUAGUUACCGAUUACGCGUCCUAAAGGAGUUCGGAGAUGUACUAUGAUAUCGCUUUCGUUGACGAUACUGCCUUCCUUCCUCCGGGCUGAUAAAAUUAGUAUACUUCUCACAACGACUGUCAGAGCCGCGGGACCGAACCCAACGUAAGAAUCCCUUUCCGACGCCGUACUCAAAGGGUUGUCGUGUACAACUUCUUUCGACCGUCUACCGGCUCAAGAUAUUAUUGUUCUAAGAACAACUCAUGUUCUUGUUUCUGCGACUGGUGCAACUCACCCGAUUUCGAAACUUCCUCGAGAUGUACGGACCGAACUCCCUAAUAUAAUUCUUUAUAAUAGGAGAACCCGGACACACCCCAGGACGACCUACACGUGGUGGUUUCCGACGACGAGGUUGUAGUUUUCGGGGUCGCCGAUUCCCAGGAGGAGGUGGACGACGUGGUAGCCGAGGAGAAAAAUCGUGUCUGUUUAGAGGUUUUAGAAGCGUCGGAUUCGUUCCUUACCGUCGACACAAAGUUCUCUAGCCACCCCCGUUUCUACACUGAAGUCCCGACGCUUUCCAAUGACUACUGUACUUCCGAUUUUUGGCACGACUAUCUUCACCACAACACUGGUCAUCACGACGACGGGGACGAGGACGCUUCUGAAGAGCACGUCCUCGGAAACGGAGGUUCUGACCUUGGGGUUUUGACCUCGAAGUCUACCCAGCGUUUACCCACUAGCUUUUAGUUCAACCAUCUUUCCUGGAACGAUAACUACUCACACUAAGAUUUGUCAGAUAGAUACACAAACCUACGUUCCUAAGGCAGGAAGUUCAUUUACCAUUUCAUUUGUUAUAGUGGCAGCUGUUUACGUGGUUUAAACCUUAACAAAAGUUCCUACAACAUCGUCGAAAACUCCAACAGUUGACGUUGCCGCAACUCCACGUUACAGUCCCGUUGCGCGGCUGUUAUAGUUAGCUGUUGUGUCGACCCACAGUCAAUAUGAACUUGUUUCUCAGUGACCCGCGAAGGUAAUGAAGCCGAUUUAGGUCACUUUACUUACAUAACCAAGGAUCGCUGCUCUGACUACCGCUGACCCACCUCGUAGGUAACGGCGUCGUCAUGUAGGUAGAAAAGCUCCUGCCCGUCAAGUGGUGUAGGGGUCAAAGAGUAAGGCCGCGUAUUUAUUUAGGCUACUAUAGAAGGAAAAAACACACACACACACCGACAAACAAACAAGCUACGACGGAAACGUAACAAGAAAAAAGAAGAUUCUACCACCACACGACUCUCAACAACAUCGAGAACAAGCCAACAACUGAAGAAGACUUCGGGUAACAAAACGGACGUCUAACAACAAAGACAACGUAACGGGUCAACACAGGUAUGCGGUUGUUUAUGUAAACAAGUGUGGCAUAGACUCAACGUGAUAACUGUUACGUUUUGGUGUAUUGUCUUCUUGUGUUCAACGAACGCAGU
rnacentral:rRNA from 1 species